UACGUAGGGUGCAAGCGUUAUCCGGAAUCAUUGGGCGUAAAGAGCUCGUAGGCGGUUCAACAAGUCGGCUGUGAAAGUGCGAGGCUUAACCUCGGAAUUGCAGUCAAUACUGUUGGGACUCGAGUCCGGUAGAGGAGAAUGGAAUUCCCGGUGUAGCGGUGAAAUGCGCAGAUAUCGGGAUGAACACCAGUAUCGAAGGCGGUUCUCUUGGCCGGCACUGACGCUGAGGAGCGAAAGCGUGGGGAGCAAACAGG
rnacentral:misc_RNA from 1 species